rnacentral:rRNA from 1 species
CCCUGCCAUUUGUACACACCGCCCGUCGCUACUACCGAUUGAAUGGUUUAGUGAGAUCUUCGGAUUGGUCCGGAAGUGGUCGCAAGGCUGCCUCUAGGUGCCGAAAAGAUGCUCAAACUUGAUCAUUUAGAGGA